rnacentral:misc_RNA from 1 species
AAGUCGUAACAAGGUUUCCGUAGGUGAACCUGCGGAAGGAUCAUUAUCUAUUUUAAUGGUGUUGGUCGCGGCCCCCGGCGGAAUUGUCCCCGGGCGGUAGAGGUAACACUCUCACGCGGCCACAUGCCUUCAUCCUUUUUUUACGAGCACCUUUCGUUCUCCUUCGGUGGGGCAACCUGCCGUUGGAACCUAUCAAAACCUUUUUUUUGCAUUUAGCAUUACCUGUUCUGAUACAAACAAUCGUUACAACUUUCAACAAUGGAUCUCUUGGCUCUG